rnacentral:misc_RNA from 1 species
UGGUUCUGGCAUCGAUGAAGAACGCAGCGAAAUGCGAUAAGUAAUGUGAAUUGCAGAAUUCAGUGAAUCAUCGAAUCUUUGAACGCACAUUGCGCCCCUUGGUAUUCCGAGGGGCAUGCCUGUUCGAGCGUCAUUAUGACCAAUCCCGCAAAGGGGUCUUGGGGCUCGCCAUCUCGGCGGCCCUUAAAAUCAGUGGCGGUGCCAUCGUGCUCUAAGCGUAGUAACUCUUCUCGCUAUAGAGUUCCGGUGAACGCUUGCCAGUAACCCUCAACUAUUCUAGGUUGACCUCGGAUCAGGUAGGGAUACCCGCUGA